AUUUCCUCCCACAUUACGGCCUGGUAUUCAUAGCAGCCAGAGCUAUGGGUCCUGACCGCCUGUCACCUGCCAUCUCCCCCACUGAAGCGGGCACCCCCUGAGGGCCAGGCGGGCCCUAGAAGCUCCCCUCUGGGAGCUGAGGACGUGGCACCAGGGGCUGCCCAGCGAGUGCUUGUGGAAAGCAGGAAAAUCUGAACGGACAGAAACACACAAAUCAACAGAUGUCAUUCACAGCCUCACAAGAAUCCCAGUUAUCCCCAGUUUACCGAUGAAGUGAGCUCAGAAAGGAUAAGGAAUAUGAGGCCCAGAGAGGUUAUGCGACUCGUUGGUGGUCACACAGCUGACACGUUCCCCCGUGCCCAGCCCCAGGCCUGGAUCACAGCAGGGAAAAGAAAGCCAUAGAAGGAGUUUCGAGGAAAAGCAACAUGCUAUCCUCUCCUCCCUGUCCCUGUCCCUCUCCACCAGGCCUCCAUGUCCCUUCCCCAUAGAAUCCACCCCCGGUUUGGGUGCCCUAUCCUUGCCACCUCUGUGGCCUUUGUGUCUGUCGCCUCAGCUGCCUCUUGUCUCAGAGGACCUGGGCCACCCCCUGCAGGCCCCUGUCACCUCGUCCUCCUCCCAGCCCGCCCACCCUGUCUUCGGGACUGCUUCUCUUCUUUGUCUGUUAGAUUCCAGGCACAUUCCAGCUCAUCUUGUGGACACUUCCAGGCUGUGACAGUCAGCUUGCAGGUGGAAAAUCAAUCAUCACGUCGAACGCUCGUGGCGAUCUGUAAACCCAGGAACCAGCAACUUUAAAACAGGAUCAUCUUCUGUCCUUGGUUUUAGCCUCCCUGGGCUCCCCGCUGCAAGGUCACAAAAUGUCCGGGCACGGAGACAUGCCUUCCUGUACCCCCAUGGGAGACACCACCCUACACCCCCAGACAGGAGCUCAGAGAGGUGAAGGGACUUGCCCAAGGGCACACAGCUUGUUGGUGGUUGUAGCAGAGACUGCUCACUGUCCUCCAGGUUCCUGUCCCCACCCCAUCACCUCCAGUGGUCCAAGGGAUUAGAACCCCUGCUACGUUACCUGGGC